GAAAGGGGAGGGUAUGGGCUGAAUACGGUGAAAGUACAGGAUGUACUUAAGUGAAAACAGUCUGUGUUAAGUCCCCCUCCCCCAUUAUGUACACUGAUGAACACCAAUAAAAAAAAAGUUAAGGAUAAAAACAAGCAGAAUCAAAAGAACGUGAAGACUGCAGAGUAAGUUUUCACAUGCUUAGUUUUUUUUCUACUAUUGUCUAAAUAUAUUCCUGCAUGUCCUUGCUCACGAGCAGAGGUGACUAUUUGCAACACGUAGGAAGAACCCCCAAGAAUAAUCCAGAGAAAAAAUAUUUACAAUAGCCACAUGAGAGGUCACCAUUACUUGUCUACAAGUCUGAUGCUUGGGUUUGGAAGCCAGCAGGGCAGCCAGUGGGGAGAGAGGGCAGUGCAGAGGAAAGCCAGGAUGAGCAAGAAUCACAGACAACACGCUACAUUGCUCUCUCUCUCUCUCUGCCUCUGAGGCCCCACCUUAACAAGGCAAACUUGCAGAAGGCCUGACUCUUCCACUCUAGCUGCUCACACCUGUGCUGGCAUUCCCAGCCACCAAGGAAGAGCUCAGGGGAGACUGGAGGCCUGUGACCUGAGCUACUGCAGUCCCCACCAGGAGCAGGCAGCACUUCCUGCUCAAUCUACAUGAGACUCUGGAUCUCAGUCUAAUCAUGGCCACUUCCCUCCCACCUUCCAAACCUCUCAGAACUGUCUCCUGGGGUCAGCCCUAAUGCAGAGCCACCCUGGGAAGAGGGAUCUAGAGACAGUCACAACAGAGUGAAAGUGAUGGAGUAUACAAUCCUGUCACACCUUGUUUCACUGCUGUAGGCUCUGCAACUAGUAUCAUCUGGUCACCUUGUCCUCAGUCAACUUCACCUUUUAUGUGAGAAGCAUGAUAAGGCUCUUUACUAUACAGGUAUAUGUUGUUGGUUGUUUUUACUCUGUGGUCUUUUGGGGAGGCCUGCCACCCAGCUCCCACAUAAAUCACACAAGGAGGCUUAUUCUUCAUUAUAAAUGCCCGGCCUUAGCUUGGCUUGUUGCUAACCAGCUUUUCUUAACUUAAAUUUUCCCAUCUACCUUUUGCUUCUGGGCUUUUUUUCUUUUCUAACUUCUGUAUAUCUUACUUUCACUCUUACUCCAUGAUUUGCUAUGUGCUGGGUGGCCGGCCCCUAGCAUCCUCCUCUCCUUGUUCUCUCAUGCCCUUUCUCCCUUUUUUCUCCCAGAUUUCUCCUUGUAUUUAUUCUCUCUGCCUGCCAGCUCCACCUAUCCUUUCUCCUGCCUCGCUAUUGGCCAUUCAUAUCUUUAUUAGACCAUCAGGUGUUUUAGAUAGGCAAAGUAACACAGCUUCACGGUUAAACAAAUGCAACAUAAAGAAUGCAACACAUCCUUGCACCAUCAAACAAAUGUUUCAUAGCACAAACAAAUACAACACAUCUUAAAUUAAUAUUCCACAGUAGGUACAGCUGUUAUUCUUUAUAUACAAGCACUGGUCCAGCAAAAGAAUUAUGUAUCAAUUGAUUAUGUUUGUUCUUACGGGAGUUUCCAUCUCUCAGUAUGUGACAUACAUUUAAUAUAGAGAGGAUAUAAACUUACUUUUACUAAGAAAAAGAAAAAGGUUUAUAUUUUGAUUUGGGAUUCUAUGAGAACAAAAAGUAAGGUACAAAAAUAAGAGAAAAUGGAUAAACCUUGGGACAUUUAUAGAGCAGACUACCACUCAGAAGUGAAAAGGAACAAACUCUUCAUUGCACAGAACCACCUGAAUGAAACUCCAGAGAAAUGCUGAGACUUUAAAAAAAAAAAGAAGAAGCCAAUCUCAAUAAAGUGUGCGCUAAGAAAUUUUGCUUAUAUAACAUCAAAAUGAUAAAAUUAUAGAGAUGGAGAAUUAGUGGUCAGGGUGGUAGUUUGUGGGUUAAAUGUUAGACUUCAGGUGCGUUGCUCUGAUGAGGAAGUAUAGAGUUCACGUGAUGGAGUGUUCUAGACUUUGUAACUAUAGUAGAAUCUCAGAAAUUGACACCUGUCAUAAAACUGCAGAGAACUAAACACACAUCAAAAUAAAUAAAAUAGCUGGGGGGGGGGGAUCCUAAGGAUUAUAUCAAUGCUAUUUCCUGCACUCAGGACCACUAGCCCAGAGGUAGCUACACCCACAAUGGGCUGGGUACUCCCAUAUCAAUCACUAAUUACGAAAAAGCCCUUCAGGCUUGCCUACAGCCCCAUGUCAUGGAGGCAUUUUCUCAACUGAAGUUCUCUCCCUCACAGAUGACUCUAGCUUGUGCCAAGUCAACACAAAAAACAGUCGGGACACUAGGCCAACGCUUGGUUCAUACCAAAUGCUCAAAAUGGCUCUUUCCAUUCCUUUUUGCAGGUUCAGGUUAUACAGGUCUAACUAGACAUGGCAGCUCACUGAAUCUGUAAUCUCAACACUGAGGAGGCUGAGGCAGGAGAGCGGCCAUGAGUAAAGAACCAUCCUGGGCUACAUAGUGAAUCCCAAGCCAGCCUGGGGUAUGGAGUGACAGCCUGUCUCAAGAAACAAACAAACAAAAAACAGGAGGAAGAGGAAAGGAAAGAAAAACUAAGUGUCUGAAGUCUUCAGUCCACGCUACGGCACUAGAACAUGGGUUGCACCUCAUUGACUACUCAAGAGGUGGCCACUCCGAUUGAAACCGACCAUGUGAACAGGACUGGUCUGCUUCUCUUCUGGAUAAGGUAACUAUUCCAAGUCAUACCCUGUUGCUCUCUAGACUCACAACUCAAUUGGCCCAUUAAAAAAGAGGAGGGGACAUUGCUGUGUCUCUAUUUGCUUUCUAUUGCUGUGAUGAACACCACAACCAAAAACAACCUAAGGAAAAAAGGGUUUAUGUGCCUUACAUGUCUGGACCACAGUUCCAUCAUUUAGGGAAGUCAAAACAGAAACUCAUGCAGAGACAUGGAGGAACACUGCUUACUCAGCUUGCUGUGACCACCUGCCCAGGAGUGGCACCACCCACAGUGAGCUGGACCCACCCACACCAAUCAUUAAUCAGGAAACUGUCCACACAGGCUUACCUACAACCAGUCUGAUGAGAGCAUCAUAUUCUCAAUUGAGCUUCCUUCUUCCUAGAUGACCCUAGUUUGUGUUAAGCUGACAAAAAAACAAAACAAAACAAACAAACAAAAAACCUAGCCAGCACUCAUCUAGCAACCCACACAGCAAAGGGCCAUGUCUUAGAAACCAAACUUCUCUGCAUAAACAAUGAACACCCAAAAGAGGUUGCAUAUUCCCCCUUCCCCUGCUCUGCCACCCUGCCCAUCAACCCCACCAACUCCCCCUUCUUCACUAACUGCCCCCACCAGGGGUUUGAAGUCAAGAGGUGGAGUUUCUACACAGCCUCCCUCCCCUCCUCCUCUGCCCUGGCAGAACUCCUGUUAGGAACUAUUGAAAACACUUGGACAGUCAGCACCGUAUAUACGUACCCCAUCCUCCAGCAGGCAUUCAACCCAGGCCCUUUAAAUGGAAACUGCUCAGGCCAGGGACCAGGGCUGUAAAAAGUCUGCAUAUGGAGUGCUGUGAGCUUAUACAGCUUCAUAUUAAUCAACAGCCUCACCUAUUCAAUGAAAAAGCCCACCAAGGAAGCAUUCCUAUUUUUAAGAUUAAAAAAAAAAACACUUGGGAAAUUAAAAAGGCUGAGAAACUGCAGCUAAGGCUACCUUGGAUUGAAAAUCAACACAACUUUCCAAAGAUAAAUGUUUAUAAAACAUCCGCUUGGGAGUCAGACAUGUUAUUUUCUCAGUCUCUUUAAAACAUUAGUUUAUUUGAAAGAAUGACGUGAAAAGCCAACUGCCGGGUUUCCUUUUCUAAGUCAUGGGGCCACCUCUCCAAAGCCCUGGGCCUGAAGGUCCACGCUGACUGUUACUUUGCCAACUGUUCCCAGAGAUCAGUGCCAUGAACUACGGCUCAGAUGACAAGGAUUGGAAAGCAGGUUUCGGGGCUAAUACCCUGUGAGCUGUUGUGUCCUACUCACUCACACCAGCUCAAAUGCGGAGCCAAGUUACACUGAAUGGAGUUCAGCUCUUGGGUUCCAACCCGUUCUUUCCCCAGAAUUCUAAAUUCAAGCGGAUACCCCACCCUGCUAACGCGUACUUUCGGUCCAGAUCAACUACUUCACACCAGAAACGCUGUGUCAUGAUUCCGGAGCCGGGGAAGGGUCUCUGCGACCCCAGGUGGAGCAGAAUCAGUGCUGUCAGUGAUGGUGACCUUGCUGGAGGGUGACUGGAGCUGAACCUGCAGAGAGAGGGAAGAAGCAUUCCGGAAGUGAUGGUGACCUUGCUGGAGGGUGACUGGAGCUGAACCUGCAGAGAGAGGGAAGAAGCAUUCGGGAAGCAGAGACUACCCCCCAGUUGAUUGUCUCAGACAGGAGCAGUCCUGUGACCAGCUUCAGACAAACGCCCUUCUGUACGUUCAAGUGAAAUGCCCAGUGUACUGAGGAGCCAUACCGUGGAAUGAAUGCCCUGAUCCCCAUCAAUGAAAAGACUGACUGAGUUCUCCAGAGAGUUUGGAGUCUCUGCGUUUGAAACUGCUGCCACAUACAAAGUGCUUGGACAAUGAACCAAGGAAGGCAGAGGAAGAAAAUCUUUCUUCCCUACAGGUGUUAGCUCCAGUCUGGAAUGCUGAAGACUGAAGGUCAGCCACACACAGAUCGUGUGACACCAAAGCGUCAAGUGAACCUCUGGGUUGGGAGUAAUCCCUGCACAUUGUCACAUAGGAGAGUGGCAGGUACCCAAAGAGCAGCAAGUCCUGGCUCUGUGGGGGAACACAGGAAGCCUGUGUCCAUCUCUUCUGGAUACCACCCAGUGUGCUUCUUCAAUUGGCUGACCUUCAUCUGUGCUGCUCCCUGUAAUAAUCCAUGGCUGGGAGUAUAACGUUUUCAAUGAAUUCUGUGAGCACUUCUAGCAAACAGCCAGAUGGACCAUGAUUUUAAAAACUUGCAAUUAUUGUCCUUAGCACUGUUUCUCUACUUCUAAUUUUUUUCUAUACUACAAAAAUGUGUGUGUGUUUGUAAUAGUACUUUUCCAUCUGAACCACCAGCCCACAAAUAAUGACACAGAGACUUUUUAUUAAUUAUAAAAGCUUGGUCGUUAGCUUAGGCCUGUCCUACUAGCUCGUAUAACUUAAAUUAAUCUACUUUUAUUAAUCUACGUUCUACCACAUGACUCACUUAUCUCUACUCUACCAUAUGUCUGGCCUCUUCCAUGUCUCCCUGGCAUCUCCUGCGUGCCUAGAAUCUUCUUCCCUCUCUAUUCUUUCUCUGCUAGGAAGUUCCACCUAUACCUCCUUCUGAGCUUUUGGCCGUUCAGCUCUUUAUUAAAUCAAUCACAGAAAUAUAUCUUCACACAGUGUACAAAUAUCUCUCAUCAUGUGUUCAGUGUGUGCGUGUGCGUGUGUGGGGGGGGCAAUAUGUGUGCAUAUGCAUGUAAUAGUCACAGGUGGACUUUAGCAGUCAUUCUCCAGGUCUUGUACAAUUUAUUUUUUAAGACUGUUCUCACAGGCCUAGGAGUCACCAAUUUGGCUAGUCUGGCUGGCCGCUGAGCCCCAGGUACCUGUCUGCCUCUCCCAUCCCUAGAUUACAGAUAUUUGUCACAAUCUGGCUUAUUUUGUGCAGGCUCUAAAGGAUCAAAUUUUGGUGCUCAUGCUCAUGAGCCAACUGAGCCAUCUCCUGAGCCCAAAACAAAAGGUUUUUAAUGGGUACCAACCCAGUCCAGAACAAAGAUACCCCCCAAACCUGCAGUGUUAAAAUCUGUUCUUUUUCACCACUGAGAGUCUCUAGGAAGAGUUUCAAAAAUAAACAAAGCUUAAAAAAGUAAAUAAACACCCCCUAUGUGGGCUGCUGGGGUGAACAUCGAGUUUGAAGAGGAAGCAGCUCAGUUCCAAAGGCUGUUGCACAGAGACUGGACAAUGAGAGCCGAGAGUCUGGUCCGUCUACAUAAAAUAUUUAUUGCGCUCAUCAAUAUUAAGUAGGUUGUGUCCCAGUCUGUACAGUCAAGCUCUGUUUUAAUGUAUUAAUUUAAUGCCACCUCUUUACAUUUUAUUAAAUUACAAAAAUGAUCUAGUUAAGGAAUGAUUCCCUUCACAGAGGGUCCCAGGGCCCACUCUGCCCCAACAUCACCCUUUAGCAGCUUCAGAGACAUCAUUUGUGGAGCCUGUGUUAAAUGAAGAUGAGAGAACCCUUGUUUCAAAGUCGCUGAGUUUACUUCUGUGACCGUAUAACUGACCAAGAGACCAUUCCAAACAUGCAAAGAAAACAAUAACUCUAUGGCAACGGGUAAGGCUGUCCUUGGUGCCAAUAUAUAGCUAGGACGACCUUGAAUGACUGAUUUCAUGCCUCAACCUGCUAAGUUCUGGGAUUACAAGUGUGUGCCACCAUGCCUGAUUGAACUUGGGGCUCUGUGUAUGCUAGAUGAGCACUCUCCACACUAAGCCAUCCCUGGGUCUUGCAGGUUUACAUCAUAGCUCACCAGUUAGAAUGGUCUAAGCUAUGAGCUCAAAUCUCCCUUCCCAGGCUGCUGACAGGAGUUUGUAGGAAGAGCAGGGAGAGAUGCUGCUUCCUGAGUGGAUGAUAAGAAGAGAACUUUGCCAUACAGUGUCAUUGACCAGACAACCUGGCUUCUGUGAAUUGUCUGUGAAGGGCCUGGAGGCUUCUCCUGAUUGGCAACCCAAGGAAUUCCGUCCAGGUAUGCCCAAGUCUUAGCCAGUUUCAAUGGCAGGCAUUCCACCAAUAGUGGAAGCCUUUUGAGCACUGAGUCCACUGAAUAUAGCAUUACGAUUCCAGACUGUGUACACCCACAAGGCCAGGAUUGCUUCAGAGGGAGCCCUAUGCACAGAAUUUUCCAACUCAAUCUUGGGGCAUCCAGAAUUAAUGGGCUUGGGGAACAAAGGAUCCGAUACGGUUCCCACCAUAACUCAGUGUCUGGCUUUCCACCCUUUUAUUAAAGGAGAUGGAGAGCCCAUCACAGGAGUUUAUCGCUGCUGAGAAGUGAAGGUUAUAUCUGGAGAUAAACCUCUCCCCUUGGGAAAUAACUGUCGGCCAUCUUUCCUCACUGUGUUGCCUUAUUUCUUGGACUAUUUUUCCACAUGUGAAUGAAUCAAAAGAGAUGGAAGUGACCUUUCAGAUCCACUGUAGCUUAUAAGAAAUGAAAAAUGUCUUUCAGAUUCAUUUUUGAACAUUUUUCUUGUUAUUAUUUUUUUCUUUACUUCUUUUUAUGGUAGUUUUAAAUGAUUUUAAUCUUUACUCAUCUCAGAUGAGAGCAGAAUAUUGUGUCUUUUCUGAGUCUUGCCUCAUGGUUGGUCUCACAGACUCUAUUCUUUCCUGUUUUUCUAUGAUUUUUGUUUCCUGGUUGUUUGUUUGAGGGAAUCAGGGAGGGAUUUAGCCAAUUGAAAAACUUAUUUCAAAGAAUGAACAUUGCACCUGCCUCUAAGAAACUGCAAAUAAUGCUGCUCACUGCUGAUGCACUGUGCAUAUGGAAACACCUAGUUAUUAUUUUUCCUGCUUAUGUUCUGCCCAGGAUUCAGAUAACAGCUACAGAAUGGCAGCAUCCAGAGUGGUGGUGAUGUAAACCCAUACCAGAACCUUCUUGUUCUCUGUGCCCAUAAAACACCCAGCUAGCUCCAGAGGCAUCGUCACAGCCAGAUCCACACACCCUAUAUGGAUAUAAAGUUAGCACCUAGUACUCUCACAUCUAUGUACUGUCUGUGUCUGCCAUCUACUUCAUGCUGAGCUUUAGAUGUUAUCAGUGUCGUUGGAAUAAAGGUAUUUCUACUAAAAUUUUAAACAGGAAUAAGAAGAUUCUAAUUUGGUAUUUUAGAGGCAAUUUCCAUAAUAAGUUUUCUGCUAUUAAGUUGCCAUAUUUCUAUGAACAAUAUACCUAGAAAGUGAGAAACUGCAUAAAAAUACCAUUAAGAACUAUUUUUAAAGACAUUUCUGCACAAAUAAAUGCUCUUACAGUUGAC